rnacentral:RNase_P_RNA from 1 species
CGACCGGGUCGGACAGCCGCGGCUGCAAGCUGAAAAGCUGCAGGUGAGGAAAGUCCGGGCUUCACAGGGCAAGGAUAACGGGUAACGCCCGCCGAGGGUGACCUCAGGACAAGUGCAACAGAGAUAUACCGCCGAAAGGCAAGGGUGAAAAGGUGGGGUAAGAGCCCACCCGGCCCAUGGUGACAUGGGUUUUACGAUGUAAACUCUAUCCCGAAGCAACGCCGUGGAGGAACACAAGGUCUGCCCGACCGUUCCGGGGAGGCGGCUGGAACUUGCGAGCAAUUGCAAGUCUAGAUAGAUGGCUGUCAAGACAGAACCCGGCUUAUAGACCCGAUCGCGCU